GACGUAGGGGGCGAGCGUUGUCCGGAUUUAUUGGGCGUAAAGCGUGCGUAGGCGGCUGCGCAAGUCGGGUGUGAAACCCCGGGGCUCAACCCCGGAACUGCAUCCGAUACUGCGUGGCUAGAGGUAGGUAGGGGAGAUCGGAAUUCCUGGUGUAGCGGUGAAAUGCGUAGAGAUCGGGAGGAACACCUGUGGCGAAGGCGGCCGACUGGGCCGACCCUGACGCUGAGGCGCGAAGGCGUGGGGAGCGAACGGG
rnacentral:rRNA from 1 species